ACACUUCAGCAGCACAUACACUAAAAAUUGGAACCAUACAGAGAAGAUUAACAUAGCCCUGUGCAAGGAUAACGUGCAAAUUCAUGAAGCAUUCCAUAUUUUU
rnacentral:snRNA from 1 species